UGUCACUUUGGCAGCCCAUGUGCUAAUACUGGAAUGAUACAGAAGAUUAACUUGGUCCCUGUACAAGGAUGACAUGUAAAUUCGUGAAGCAGUCAGUAUUUUU
ensembl:snRNA U6 U6 spliceosomal RNA